GGUAAUGAGAUACUGUGGCUGUGACAUGCCAGCCCUUAUUUGUACCAGGCUCAAUUCAGCUGAUCUGUCUCACUAGGCAGGUGCCUUUUUUCCUUCACUGCUCCAUGUGCGUUCUUUCUGAGGUUUGGCUUCUCAGUCAAAAAGGACAACCUUUACAGAGGGAGAAGGAUAUUUGGUUCAAACACAGAUAAUUACGUAUCCAUCCCACCCCCACAGAACUUUCUGUCCUAAAGGGAAACAUGACAGGAAAGAUGGCAAGUUUGCAGAAUUACAAUCCCUUUUAGGAAAAAGAUGGUUUAUGACACCU
rfam:Equus caballus chromosome 8, whole genome shotgun sequence.